GGCUCCUACGGGACGCAGCAGUGAGGAAUAUUGGUCAAUGGACGAAAGUCUGAACCAGCCAUGCCGCGUGCAGGAAGACGGCUCUAUGAGUUGUAAACUGCUUUUGUACAAGGGUAAACCUGAAUACGUGUAUUCAGCUGAAAGUACUGUACGAAUAAGGAUCGGCUAACUCCGUGCCAGCAGCCGCGGUAAUACGGAGGAUCCAAGCGUUAUCCGGAUUUAUUGGGUUUAAAGGGUGCGUAGGCGGAUUGAUAAGUUAGAGGUGAAAUGUCCGGGCUCAACUCGGGAACUGCCUCUAAUGCUGU
rnacentral:rRNA from 1 species